UUGCUAGCAAUACAUAUUUUUAGCAAUCUAAAAUUGCCUGUCGAAAUGCUAUUUAUUGGUUCAUUUUAUAGUAGAUUAGAUUCCCAGUAGUGUUGUCACUGAUACAUAUGAUAUAUUAUGGAGGAAUAUGCUAGAGAACCAUGUCCCUUCAGAAUUGUUGAUGAUUGUGGAGGAGCUUUCGCAAUGGGUUGCAUAGGAGGUGGCAUAUUUCAAGCAAUAAAGGGUUUUCGAAAUGCUCCAUCUGGAUUCAAUAAGCGCAUGGUUGGAAGCUUAACUGCGAUCAAACUCCGCUCUCCAGUGAUUGCAGGAAAUUUUGCAGUUUGGGGAGGAAUGUUCAGCACUAUUGACUGCACAUUAGUGCAUUUUCGGAAAAAGGAAGAUCCAUGGAAUUCAAUUAUAAGUGGAUUUACAACAGGUGGAAUUUUAGCUGCAAGGAACGAUGUAUCGUUGAACAAAGCAUCGGAAUCUUAAAAACACGGUGGUGAUUUUAGGAUUUUAGGCAAGAGAGGAGGUAUCACCCCACAAAGGGGGAAGAUUUGCUAACGUUUGUGAGACAUUACAUAACAUCUGCAUAAAAUUUACAACAAGUUGCGACCCUCAAAAUUACGAUUCUUAUCACACACAAGAAAUGGACACUGGGGUAACGAACCGCUUCACCGCAAUCGACCAAACGAUAAGAGAUCAAAUAAAGUAUUCUUUAAUACAUUUAAUUAAAAAAUGUAUAUGUCCUUACCAUUGUAAAUAAUUUUAUUGUCAACUAAAAUACAAAAAUUUUGUUAAUAUAAAUAUUUUUUUUUUUUAUUUUUUAAUGAGAUAUUCCAUUCAUUGCUUUCUUGUUUAUGUCCUUUAUUACUAAAAAUUAUAAAACACUUAAAAUUUUAAAAAAUUUUGCUCACAUUUCCUUAAAUUUGGCUAUUACGAUUGGUAGUUCGCGUUCGAACGACGAUGCGAACGAACGGAUACGUUUAUAUACUCGUUCACGUAUGUCAUCAUGCCAGAUCACGAUAGAAGCGUUAUGAUCACGUACGUCAUAAUACGAAAUACAGGCUUUUACGUGACGAAUGUAACGAUUCGACCCCAGCACUCUGGCGUUUCGUUUCGGGAUCAUAUUGGAAGCACCACGUUUCGCCACCAGUCACAAUAUUGUAAAGGAAGUUUUUGUACUUUUUGACCUCUUUAAUGAUGUCCUUCGAAUGUUGGAUUCUGAGCAAUUUUUGGUCGUCAGUCAAUUUGUGCGGAACAAACCGAAAUGCAAUAAAUUGAUAUUUUGGAGAUGUUCAAUUCCAUUUCCAUGAAUUUCAAUCAUGAUUUCGGCUGAUUUUUGAUGAAGUCACACACAGUUUCGAUUGAGUUUCCGGUGAUCACGGAGUUUGAUUGUCCCACAUGUUGAUCGUUAUUCAUGUCCUCACGACCACUCUGAAAACGUGAACUCUGUUGCGGGAAAGGCAAUCAUCGCCAUAAACUUGUUUCAUCAAUUGAAACGUUUCGGUAGAAGUUUUACCAAUUUUAAAAUAAAAAGUUAAUGUUGGCUCUUCAAAUAACUGAAAAUUCAAAACAAAUCAAAACAAAAAUCAGCUGUUAGUACUUAAGCCUAACCUAAAUACGUAAAAUCGUUGAGUUGGUAGGAAGAGCAAAUCCACAGUCCAUGUGAAGAAAAGGUUCCAUGAGCCAGGAAAAGAUUCCAUGGUGAGUUCAGAUUGGUCAAUAGAAGCUAAGAAGAAAUAUUAUCAGUGUGCGAAGAGCGUUAUAUAAUAAAGGAAGUCGCAAAUGAUCCUUUUACUCAAAGUAGAAAAGAUGUCUGUUUCGAAAUACGUUGCACAAAUACGAUUACCAUGGUAGAGUUCCAAAAAAAAAACCUUACAUUAGCCUUCAGAAUAAAAACAAAAGGUUGAAAUACGCUAAGGAGUAUUUAUUAAAAUCAGAAGAUUUUUGAAAUAAGGUAGCUUCACAUUUUUUUUUAUUUCAAAAUACAUUUAUUUUGAUACUUUUCAAGUUAAGGUUUAUUCACUGAUGAAAGCAAAUUUAAUUUGCAUGAACCAGAUGGCAAAAUGUGUGUGUAGUGUAAACCAAAUGCCGAAUUUGUUUAUACAAAUGCAAAAGUCACAGUAAAGCACGGAGGGGCUCUGUUAUGGUUUGGGGCUGCAUGUCAAGUGCUGGAGUAGGCAAUUGCAUUCUAUUGAUUGUAAAAUGAACAAAUUGGCUAUCUUAAUGUUCUAAAAGAAAAUGUAAAGCAACGUGCGGAAAAGUUUGCUUUCUAUCAAGACAACGACCCAAAGAACACAUCGGGCGUUGGGAAGCUUUGGUUGAUACACAACUGCCCCAAACUAAUGCAAACACCAGCGCAGAGACCUGACCUCAAUGUAAUCGAGCAUUUGUGGGAGGAAUUAGUUAGAAGAGUAUCGGCAAAAGUUUAACACCUUAGAUCAGCUAAAGGAGGCUUUAUUGGAAUUCUGUAAAGCCAGAGGUUUGUCAAAUCUGUCCCAAAGCGCUUACAGGCUGUUCUAGAUAACAAGGGAUAGGCAACCAAGUACCAGGUUGUUAAAAUAUUUUUUUCGUUUGAUAAGAAAAAGAAUUCAAACUAUACUUUAUUAUUCAGUAUAAUCUCCCUGAACAUUAAUACACUUGCUCCAAUGAUACUGCAUUCUGUGGACCCCAUCCCUGAAGUGAUAAUGAUCAUUUCAUGAAAAACGCUUGCCACGCAUAAUUUUUUUGAGUUCUGGAAAUAAAAGGAAGUCGGUGGGAGCCAAAUCUGGUGGAUGCUCCAACAAUUCGAACUUUAAUUCAUGAAUUAUAUGCUGGUAUUGUCACUGGCGAAGCGAAUGCAUUGGCGAGUUGAAUAUUUUAGGCGAAAAUUCGCCAGGUUCAUAUUGUGACUGGCGAAUGAACAUAUUCGCUCAACUGUUUUGUUGCCAUACUAAAAUAAUUGAGAAAUGUCACACGAGUUCUACUGAAAUUGACAUAUUUGACGUAUUAUUGUUAUUGUUUUGGAAUUUUAUUAUCCUCUUAUUCGUUAUUGUGUGUUUUGAAAUUUUACCGUGAUUUUAAAAAAGUGAAUAAAAAUGUUUAACAACGUCGAUUUAUAUUUUGAAGACAGUUAUGUUGAAAGGACAACAGCGAAGCUACUUAGGCACCGACGGUUCAUCAGAGAUCACUCUAAUCCCAUGGAACUUUCUUCAUUGUUGUAAGUAUCUAUUGCUAUAAAAGUGCAUAAACAAAUAUCACGUCACAUAAGUUUUUAUUAACAGAUUUAAAGAAAACUUUCGGUUAAGUAGGGAUACAUUUAUGUAUGUGCUAGACAGCAUAAAGGAAAAAUGUCCGACUAACCUAUCGUCGUCAAUAUCGCCGAUGUUGAAAUUGUGCUGCGUUCUCAGAUUUUUGGCUCAUGGGAGCUAUCAGCAAACAGUGGGAAAUGAUUUCCAACUAUGUAGGUAUUGCACAGCCCAGUGUUUCGUUGAUUUUUAAGGAAAUGUUUUCAAUAUUGGAAUCCACUCUGUGCAGUGUCUGGAUCAAAACAGACAUAACUGAAGAGCAGAAACGAACAACAAGAAGGAAAUUUUUCACCAGAUCAGGAAUUCCAAAUGUGGUUGGUUGCGUUGAUGGAACCCAUGUUGCAAUUAUUGCUCCAUGUGAGAACAAGCACUUAUAUGUGAAUAGAAAAGGAUUUUACAGCAUAAAUGCGAUGAUUGUAAUUAACAACUAAAUAAAUAAAUUAUUACUUAUUAUUAUUUCGUCCUAAAAAAUUAAUUUGUAUCAGGCAUGCGAUCAGGAUAUGGUUAUACGGUGUGUUGAUGCAAGAUAUGGAGGAUCUAGCCACGACUCAUUUGUGUGGAACAAUAGCGCUUUAAAAACAUAUCUGGAGCAAACAUACCAAAGAGGAGAUCAUAAUUCGGUUUACUUAGGUGAUUCUGGUUAUCCACUACACGAGUAUCUAUGGACGCCUUUCCGAAACGCUUUACCAGGAACAGUGGAAUCAAAUUUUAAUAAAAAACAUGCAAAGGCAAGGAACGUAGUUGAACGGACAAUUGGAGUGCUGAAAUGCCGUUUUCGUUGUAUACUAGGUGAACGUAAACUACGAUAUCCUCCUAGUAAAGCAACUGUUAUUGUAAAUGUUUGUUGUGCUUUACACAAUAUUUGCAAACAAUAUAAUGUGAAUGAUCCUGAAGAAGAAACUUUUGUUGAUGUGGUAGUACCACUGGAACCAGUUGAAGGAAAUUUCAGUGGAACAGCAGCAGAUCAUCGCCGAAGACAAAUUGCGAAUGCAUUGUCAUAGUAUAGUUGCAUCCCUAAAAUAUAUGUAACAUAACUACAAUAAAAUAACUGAAAUUAAUUUUGAA